rnacentral:rRNA from 1 species
UGGGGAAUAUUGCACAAUGGGGGAAACCCUGAUGCAGCAACGCCGCGUGAGUGAUGACGGUCUUCGGAUUGUAAAACUCUGUCUUUGGGGACGAUAAUGACGGUACCCAAGGAGGAAGCCACGGCUAACUACGUGCCAGCAGCCGCGGUAAUACGUAGGUGGCAAGCGUUGUCCGGAUUUACUGGGCGUAAAGGGAGCGUAGGUGGAUAUUUAAGUGGGAUGUGAAAUACUCGGGCUUAACCUGAGUGCUGCAUUCCAAACUGGAUAUCUAGAGUGCAGGAGAGGAAAGUAGAAUUCCUAGUGUAGCGGUGAAAUGCGUAGAGAUUAGGAAGAAUACCAGUGGCGAAGGCGACUUUCUGGACUGUAACUGACACUGAGGCUCGAAAGCGUGGGGAGCAAACA